CCUGACCAGGUUGAGCCCGUAUGAGUGGUAUAACCCACACACACACACUCACACACACACUCACACACACACUCCUCUCUCCUGACCAGGUUGAGCCCGUACGAGUGGUAUAACCCACACACACACACACUCACACACACACUCACACACACACACUCCUCUCUCCUGACCAGGUUGAGCCCGUACGAGUGGUAUAACCCACACACACACACACUCACACACACACUCACACACACACUCCUCUCUCCUCACCAGGUUGAGCCCAUACGAGUGGUAUAACCCACACACACACACACUCACACACACACUCACACACACACUCCUCUCUCC
ensembl:lncRNA